CGCCCCCACGGGUCGUUCUUCACUGAUUGGGCAGGAGCCGCAGUGCUGACUCUGUGCGAUUCUAUUGGCCCAUGUCGCAUGUCAAUCAACAUCCCCCGGUGAGGGGAAGGGGGUACGGCCGGCUAACGGUACCGCCCGAUUUUCGGAGAUUCGACCGAAACUUCGUAACAUGUUUCGUAACAUGCUGCUUCGACGUUUUCGGUUGGAUGUUAAACUUGUCACACAUCAGUGGUAAACAAAGAAAUGAACCAGUGAUAUCUGCGAGCGUCGUCCAGGGGUGACGUGAUACGAGAUGCGCCUUCAAGAAUGCCAGGGCCUUGAAACUGGAUGUGAAAGCUUUUAAUUCUCUGUGUUACUGCUAAAUGUUUAGGUUCUGUUCUGGCUGCUGGAAUUGCAUGUACCAGUGGAAAAAUGACCUGCUGUGUCAGAAACCACCUCCAAAAAGCUCUGAGGAAUUGAAUUCAGAGGCCUUGGAGGAAGCAUCAACAAUGCAGCCUCAUGCAUCCUGUCUACUCUGAUAACUGCAACCUGGAUGGGAAUGUUACAUUUAGGAAAUUUGAAAGCUCAAGCUGGUGAGCAUCUGACUGCGACAGCUCCACAGCCAGCUGAGGAAGAAAUGUCCCAAGACAUUGGUAGUUGGAGGGCUCGUGGACACAAAGCACCUGUGCAGCCCCAGGCAGGAGAGGACUCUAUUAUAAGUAAUCGGGGAAUUUUAUCCAAAUGAAGUGGGGAAAACAAGGGUAGCAGACAAGCAAUAGUCCUUUUUGCCCAGAGGCUACACAGUGUGGACCCAGUUGCCUCAAGUGUGCAAUCAUCUGGCUGCUGCUAUGGAGAGCUGGGCUCAGUACCCUCAUCUGCACUCCAUCACUUCAGCCAAUGGUCCUUCCUCCCAAGGAAACAGGUGGUGCCAGGAGGGUCCCAGCCAGAAUUGGAACAAUGCACAGGCCCUACAUAAGUCUUCUCUCAACACUCCAGUGGUGGCUGGACCCUCCACCUCCAUGCUGACAACCAUUGACACUUCCCUCUGACAAACAGAUGCUCAGUACGUCAGAACCAUCCAUAAUUAAAAGGCCUGGGAUUGCCUGACCAAACCUCCAAGGAAAUGGGCUUCACUGCCUGGCAGGUUCCUUCCCCAGCUGCCUAACCUGGGACAAUUAUGAAACUAUGGGAGGGAAAGAUGGGAAGAAAGACUUUUUGAAGGCACUUUGUAGCACAAGUGACAGCAUACCAUAUAUAAAGUACCAUGUAAGCAUAAAUAUUAUUAGUUUUACAAUAAUGUUUUGCUUCUCUCUCAAGCUCCAGCUAUGACAGUGCCAGGAUGAUGCCUGACUUCGUGUCCGUACAGAAUGGACCAUGGAUUGAUAGCUGUGUUAACAGCCUAUUGCAGCAUGUGGAAGCAAGAUAAACAAAGUAUUGCAUUGCAGUGACACUGUUGCCCUUUGUGUUCAGGCAUUCCUAUUCUGUUCGAGGUCUCUGAGUGUAAAGGUGUUGGUGCUGAAAGAAGUGGUCAGCCAUGAGUGGAACAGAAAGUCUACAACUCAGAAGGACCCAAUGCAUUAGAAUUGCCAGGGUUUAGGGGCUUACAGCCCUGUCCUUUGUGGACUGGCCACUAUGGAGCCACAGUGCUGACCAUUACCAACUCCCAACUGCAGUGUUAUGGACGUUCUGAUGAGAACCUGACCAUGGCCAAUCCCCUAGACUGGGCUUGGAGGCUCCACUUGACUUACUGUAUUGGGACACCUGACUAACAGGUUUCCGCAUGGGCUACUCCCGUAAGAAUUUUCUGCAUGCCUACUUGUUUGCUACAUAUACAGUGAGUUUGCCAUGUGAGAUGUAGGUACAUGGUACAAGUGUUGGAUUGAUGUAGCACACUGCCAUACAGCAAGAUGUAUGCCCAUUCAUUGAGAGCUGCUGACUAGCAAGGCAAGCUUGGUCAUGCAACUAUGCUAAAAGGCAUGACAAGGCAAGUCAGGGCAGAGAUGCUGUAAACUUACAGUUAUGUGCUAAAUAAGCAAGCAAGGAGCUUUGAGUUGCAGCUGGGUCCAAUCCAUUAGCUGGAUGCCUGUCCCUGAGCACAGUGUCCCUUGCAGCAGCUUUCAGUGCUAUUUUCCAUGUAUCCAGCAAUUAUGCCUCAACUUCCUCAUGUUUGGAGAGGUACCAUGACAAUCCUAUGGAGUUGGCAAAUCUUGGAUUCCAAUGUCCAUGGAUGUGGGAUGCAAGAGGUGAGUGUCUAUGCAUUGUACCCUGAUAUGCAAUUGUGUGGUGAGUAACAUGUAUGGAAAAUAAAAUGGAACAUACAAAGCAAUAAGAUAAUGACAUAAGGCUACAUAGAACAAAUUAAGUAGAACAAAUUAAGUAUAUAUGAAUGGAAGACAGUAAGAGUAGGUUAGUCAAGUCAAAUCACCUGACGUAAAGGUAAACAGGCUGAGGGCCAUUAUGACAUAAUGUAAUAGAUUAGGUGGUAUUAGAUGGCACUGCAUUAGGUGGAACCAGGUGUACUGGAACAAUGGGAGCACAGUGUGAUUAGCAUAGUACCAUCAUGUAAUAUGUAAUCUCAAAUAUUGAAGGCCAUGAUGACCUACUGUAAUAGAUUAGGUGUGGAGUGGGAGACCAUUGCGGCAGAAAAUAAUCAUAGUCUAAUAAUUUGAGAAAUAAUUGUAGCAGAGAUGAUUCAGCAGACGAAUAGCUUGGCGAGAUAACGCUAAUUAACACAGUUGGUUAUGCUGAUAACCCGAGAAAGAGCAUGAUAACUGAAAAGGUAUAAAAGAUGACAAGCCCCGAGGAUCGGGGGGCGAUCGGGAAACCAUUUUCUGAUUGUCACAGCUUUUGUUUGCAAAUAAAAGUUUAACUUCUUGAAGAAUUCUUCACGUCCCCUGGUCAUUCUCCACGACACAUGGAGUCUCUCUUCACAGCCAGUAGUGAACUGAAGUUGCCAGCUACUCGCCCUAACUUCCUUGUGAAGAACUUUCAACAUCUAAUUGCACAGCUGGGGGGGUAGGAUAGAUGUUUUCUUAUCAGCCUGUUCAGAUAUUAUUACAGAUCUCUGGAGCGAGAUGUGCAGUUAAUAAGGUCAUUAACAAGCAAUAAUCCCCAUAAUAGGCUACUCACCACUCUCUAGUGAGAAUUUUGCCUCAACACAUAGGAUUUAGUCAAAAGAUGCAGCAGGUUACCCUGACGUCAAGAUAAGCCUCAAUAGACUUUGCACAAACUCUAAAAUGCUUUCUUGAGUUUGCACUGCUACAGUAAAGAAAUUGUAUCAGAUCUAAUAGGAACUGCAGAUACUGGAAAAUCUGAGAUUACAAGGUGUA